rnacentral:rRNA from 1 species
GACGAACGCUGGCGGCGUGCUUAACACAUGCAAGUCGAACGGAAAGGCCCUGCUUUUGUGGGGUGCUCGAGUGGCGAACGGGUGAGUAACACGUGAGUAACCUGCCCUUGACUUUGGGAUAACUUCAGGAAACUGGGGCUAAUACCGGAUAGGAGCUCCUGCUGCAUGGUGGGGGUUGGAAAGUUUCGGCGGUUGGGGAUGGACUCGCGGCUUAUCAGCUUGUUGGUGGGGUAGUGGCUUACCAAGGCUUUGACGGGUAGCCGGCCUGAGAGGGUGACCGGCCACAUUGGGACUGAGAUACGGCCCAGACUCCUACGGGAGGCAGCAGUGGGGAAUAUUGCACAAUGGGCGGAAGCCUGAUGCACCAACGCCGCGUGCGGGAUGACGGCCUUCGGGUUGUAAACCGCUUUCGCCUGUGACGAAGCGUGAGUGACGGUAGUGGGUAAAGAAGCACCGGCUAACUACGUG